rnacentral:rRNA from 1 species
GACGUAGGGCGCAAGCGUUGUCCGGAUUUAUUGGGCGUAAAGAGCUCGUAGGCGGCUUGGCAAGUCGGGUGUGAAACCUCCAGGCUCAACCUGGAGACGCCACUCGAUACUGCCAUGGCUAGAGUCCGGUAGGGGACCACGGAAUUCCUGGUGUAGCGGUGAAAUGCGCAGAUAUCAGGAGGAACACCCGUGGCGAAAGCGGCUCUCUGGGACGGUACUGACGCUGAGACGCGAAAGCGUGGGGAGCAAACAGG